AGGACGAACGCUGGCGGCGUGCCUAACACAUGCAGGUCGAACGAGGUCCAUCGAGUGGCAACACUCGGGAAGACCUAGUGGCGAACGGGUGAGUAGCACGUGAGGAACCUGCCCCGAAGACCGGGAUAACCCUCCGAAAGGAGAGCUAAUACCGGAUACCCUCCACAGCGUCGCAUGGCGCAGUGAAGAAAUGGAUUCCGCUUCGGGAGGGCCUCGCGGCCUAUCAGCUUGUUGGUGGGGUAACGGCCCACCAAGGCAUCGACGGGUAGCUGGUCUGAGAGGACGAUCAGCCACACGUGGGACUGAGACACGGCCCAGACUCCGUACGGGAGGCAGCGAGGUGGGAAUCGUUGCGCGAAGUGGGACGAAAGGCCUAGACG
rnacentral:rRNA from 1 species